AGUGAACGCUGGCGGUAGGCCUAACACAUGCAAGUCGAACGGCAGCACAGUAAGAGCUUGCUCUUACGGGUGGCGAGUGGCGGACGGGUGAGGAAUACAUCGGAAUCUACUUUUUCGUGGGGGAUAACGUAGGGAAACUUACGCUAAUACCGCAUACGACCUACGGGUGAAAGCAGGGGAUCUUCGGACCUUGCGCGAUUGAAUGAGCCGAUGUCGGAUUAGCUAGUUGGCGGGGUAAAGGCCCACCAAGGCGACGAUCCGUAGCUGGUCUGAGAGGAUGAUCAGCCACACUGGAACUGAGACACGGUACAGACUCCUACGGGAGGCAGCAGUGGGGAAUAUUGGACAAUGGGAGCAAGCCUGAUCCAGCCAUACCGCGUGGGUGAAGAAGGCCUUCGGGUUGUAAAGCCCUUUUGUUGGGAAAGAAAAGCAGCAGGUUAAUACCCCGCUGUUCUGACGGUACCAAAAGAAUAAGCACCGGCUAACUUCGUG
rnacentral:rRNA from 1 species